rnacentral:rRNA from 1 species
GACGAAGGGGGCUAGCGUUGUUCGGAAUUACUGGGCGUAAAGCGCGUGUAGGUGGUUGCCACAGUCAGGUGUGAAAGCCUUGAGCUCAACUCAAGAAAUGCACUUGAUACUGGGCGACUAGAGGACCGGAGAGGAUAGUGGAAUUCCCAGUGUAGUGGUGAAAUACGUAGAGAUUGGGAAGAACACCAGUGGCGAAGGCGGCUAUCUGGACGGUUUCUGACACUAAGACUCGAAAGCGUGGGGAGCAAACAGG